UCUUGAGACCUGUGCAAUAGCCUCUCAGGGCAACGCUUCAGGGCGGGAACGCAGCAGAGCACCCUGUUUGGCUAUGUGCCGCAGGUAUCUUAAGGGGA
rnacentral:SRP_RNA from 1 species